UGGGGAAUAUUGCACAAUGGGCGCAAGCCUGAUGCAGCCAUGCCGCGCGUGUGAAGAAUGCCUUCGGGUUGUAAAGCACUUUCAGCGGGGAGGAAGGCGAUAAGGUUAAUAACCUUGUCGAUUGACGUUACCCGCAGAAGAAGCACCGGCUAACUCCGUGCCAGCAGCCGCGGUAAUACGGAGGGUGCAAGCGUUAAUCGGAAUUACUGGGCGUAAAGCGCACGCAGGCGGUUUGUUAAGUCAGAUGUGAAAUCCCCGGGCUCAACCUGGCAACUGCAUCUGAUGGUGGCAAGCUUGAGUCUCGUAGAGGGGGGUAGAAUUCCAGGUGUAGCGGUGAACUGCGUAGCGCUCUGGAGGAAUACCGGUGGCGAAGGCGGCCCCCUGGACGAAGACUGACGCUCAGGUGCGAAAGCGUGGGGAGCAAACCGG
rnacentral:rRNA from 1 species